GGUUUAGUAGUCAAUUAUGACAUUGGAUUGCAAAUCUGAAGGUGAAGUUAGUUCUUAAGCCU
rnacentral:tRNA from 1 species